GAUGAAGAACUUAGCGAAAUGCGAUAAGUAGUGUGAAUUGCAGAAUUCAGUGAAUCAUCGAAUCUUUGAACGCACAUUGCGCCCCUUGGUAUUCCAUGGGGCAUGCCUGUUCGAGCGUCAUUUGUACCUUCAAGCUUUGCUUGGUGUUGGGUGUUUGUCCCGAGGGACUCGCCUUAAAGUAAUUGGCAGCCAGUGUUUGGUUUUGAAGCGCAGCACAAGUCGCGAUUCAAGGCUACACGCCCGCUUCCACAAGCCUUUUUUCACUUUUGACCUCGGAUCAGGUAGGGAUACCCGCUGAACUUAAGCAUAUCAAUAAGCGGAGGA
rnacentral:misc_RNA from 1 species